AGUGGCGGACGGGUGAGUAACGCGUGGGUAACCUGCCUUACACUGGGGGAUAACAGUUGGAAACGACUGCUAAUACCGCAUAAGCGCACAGUGCUGCAUGGCACGGUGUGAAAAACUCCGGUGGUGUAAGAUGGACCCGCGCCUGAUUAGCUAGUUGGUGAGGUAACGGCUCACCAAGGCGACGAUCAGUAGCCGGCUUGAGAGAGUGAUCGGCCACAUUGGGACUGAGACACGGCCCAAACUCCUACGGGAGGCAGCAGUGGGGAAUAUUGCACAAUGGGGGAAACCCUGAUGCAGCAACGCCGCGUGAGUGAAGAAGUAUUUCGGUAUGUAAAGCUCUAUCAGCAGGGAAGAUAAUGACGGUACCUGACUAAGAAGCCCCUGCUAACUACGUGCCAGCAGCCGCGGUAAUACGUAGGGGGCAAGCGUUAUCCGGAUUUACUGGGUGUAAAGAGAGCGUAGGCGGCUUGGCAAGUCUGAUGUGAAAGCCCAGGGCUCAACCCCGGGACUGCAUUGGAAACUGUCAGGCUAGAGUGCAGGAGAGGUAAGUGGAAUUCCUAGUGUAGCGGUGAAAUGCGUAGAUAUUAGGAGGAACACCAGUGGCGAAGGCGGCUUACUGGACUGUAACUGACGCUGAGGCUCGAAGGCGUGGGGAGCAAACAGGAUUAGAUACCCUGGUAGUCCACGCUGUAAACGAUGAAUACUAGGUGU
rnacentral:rRNA from 1 species